AAUAAAUUCUUGAGAACUAUUAAAUAAGCAAAGAAAGACAUUUGAAAUCAAACCARAGGCACUUACAAUGAAACACUUCACUAAAUCCAGCAGAAGGACAUUUGCACCACGGCUUCCAAGUGACCGUGCAAGGGAAGGCGAAGAGACUUGGUGCUUUGUAUCAAACAGGGAUGGAGCUCAGAUCCUCCACUCCGAAAGUCCUGGCAAUCCCCUGACCGAGCUGAGGAGGCGUCCUGCUACACACGGAGCAGAUCAGGGAGGAUCCAUAAG
rnacentral:lncRNA from 1 species